rnacentral:rRNA from 1 species
CCCGGGCCUUGUACACACCGCCCGUCACACCAUGGGAGCUGACUCAACCAGAAAACGAAUAGGCUAACCGUAAGGAGGCCUCCGUUGAAGGUGGGGUUGGUGACUGGGGUG